UACAGAGGUCCCAAGCGUUGUUCGGAUUCACUGGGCGUAAAGGGUGCGUAGGUGGUGAGGUAAGUCUGAUGUGAAAUCUCCGAGCUUAACUCGGAAAUGGCAUUGGAAACUACCUUGCUAGAGGGUUGGAGGGGGGACUGGAAUACUUGGUGUAGCAGUGAAAUGCGUAGAUAUCAAGUGGAACACCAGUGGCGAAGGCGAGUCCCUGGACAACUCCUGACACUGAGGCACGAAAGCUAGGGGAGCAAACAGG
rnacentral:rRNA from 1 species